GGCAUGUUGCCAGAGUGGUUAAUGGGUAAGACUUGAAUGAAUUAAUUCGGUUAUCUUAUGGUUUCGGCCUCGUAGGUUCAAAUCCUGCACAUGUCG
rfam:Sclerotinia sclerotiorum 1980 scaffold_17 genomic scaffold, whole genome shotgun sequence.